ensembl:lncRNA
GCUCAGUCCAGAGAGGUUAGUGUGAGAGAAAAGGCAAAGCAGGCGCAGACCAGAGCCAUACAAGAUGGAGGGGAAGAGGGAGAAUUCCUCCCCGCCUCUCCCUGAGGUGCUUACGGCUGGUCAGAUAAUUAAAAAGGCAGGUUAGCAGGAGAAAAUCAGGCAAAGUUUAAUAACAAGCAUCCCUGCGAGAAACCCAGGAAGACUGAGCAACUUGGCCAUCUGGCCAAAGCUGCCACCCUUCCCGGGCCUCAGUGUCUGCAUCUGAAGAAUGGGGACGAAUGAUUCCAGUCCUAACCAUUUCAUAGUAUUCUGAACAAGAACCGACUGAGCACAGGCCGUUUCCCGUUGACUCGGUGCGCUCGGAUCCCGGAGCCCCGGCUGGAUGCCCGUCUAGACUGUAUGCCAGCAGAGAGGACCGAAAACCAUGUGUCUCUAUUUUCCUCUGUUCCUGUCCCAGCCCACACGCCGCAGGCCCAGCAGCUCAGCAGGGCGGACGCACCACGGCUUCUGUGAGGGGCUGAGUGGCGGACCGGGCGGGCAGCGUGGACAGCCAGCCCCACCUGCUCCUCCAGCCCCACCUGCUCCUCCAGUCCCAUCUGCUCCUCCAGCCCCACCUGCUCCUCCGGCCUGUGGCCGCAGCUGUCAGGCGCCCGGGGCUCGCAGGGCACAGGGGAGCAGCCGGUUCCACACCAGCCAGGGCAAGAACAGAGGGCUUCAUUUGCAACAAUGUGGGUUUAGGCUGGACUUCAGGAAGAAGGCCUGAGGAAUGAAAAAGGAGAAACUGUGCCAAGUGGUCACGAUUCUCUUCUAAGACGUUUUGAUCUGUCGAUGAAAAUAAUCCAUAACCAAUCUAUAAAUGAGAAUUUGGCAGAGUUUAUUCUGGGCUGAAAUCUGAGGACCAUGGCCUGGGGCCUUUCUUCCUGAAGGAAGUGAGGUACACAGAGUAGUUAUAUACCUCCAAACAGGAUAUUUCACAUAUGAUUGAAAUGUCCCUUUUACAGUAGUCAUGAGACUAUGUCGGCAGGGCGAUUGAUGGAAACAGCAGGUAGGUCUGCUGUCUUGGUGAACACAGCAGGGUGGCAGGUCUGUUGUCUCCAGCUGGGUGGUCACAGGUGAGUGCAGCAAUCAGUUCCUAGCCUAAGGAAAGAUGCUUAUCCUUAAGGAAAUGCCAAUGUGGGGGGAAGUUGCAUCUUUAUCUUAAGGGCAUUUGUUCUUGCCAUAGGAAAUGUUUAAAGCAGAUAUACAAUGCGUGCUCAACAGCCACAUCAUGCCCUUUUGGAAAUACAAAGUCAGGCCAAAUUAGGUUUACACCAAAUGUCUUCCUCAUAUACUCCAAUAUAUCCUAUUGCUUGCUACUUCUAGUUGUCAGAUCUUCCUUCUUUUUUCUUUUCUGAAGGAUUUUAGAGAUGAUUACAGAUAUGAUGAUCUUUCAUCCCUAGAUACUUCAGUUUGCAUCUCUAAAAAAUUAGGGCCUUUAUGAUGAUGGUGGUGUGGGUGGAUGUGAGUGCGCGUGCGUGUGUACGCGCAGGCAGCUGUUUGCGGCAGGACUUGCACAG